GCGUCUCGCUGCAUGCAGGGGACGAGGGUGAUGAAGUACCUGCUUUGACAACUCCCCCCGGGAAAAAAUCCACCGGAGAAGUGAAGGGCUGAACUCUGCGCGUGUUGGGCUGCACGUCUACACAAAGAGCCUCCUGCUGCUGUCGCAUGCAACCCUGCGGCUUCCCGGCACCGUCCGCCUUCUCAGAUUCAGCACCCCACCUGCAUCUCCAGCCAACUCCUCCCAACUCCAGCAGAACCUCCAUCCACCGCCACCAGAGUCUGGACUCCUCGAGGAGAUGUGACUGCCGAUCAGGGGAAACCCAGCGCAACCUCAAAUCCCCUCGUUUAGUUCAAGCACCAAAUAAAUUCUGUGUCACUCAUUAACCCAUCAACUGGCAUAAUACAUGUUGACUAAUCCUUUGGUCGUCUCUCCUGUUUGAACUGAUAUUUAGCCGUAUUUUGCCCCUUUAGGUAGAUUGUCAGAGAGAGACAGACAGAGUGCGAGAGAGAGGGUGUCAAGAGUAAUUCCAAGUGGAUGUCUGGCCCCUGAGGGCACCCUGCCCUGCGGCUAUGGAGGCUCAGACAUUGAGAGAUGCUCAUUCUGCUGUGUGAUGAGAGUAACAACAAGCUGCUCUACUCUUUAACACUGAAUCUGCUACCCAACGCUUGGACCACACUUUGCAUGUUAGCCACGAUGUAUGUAUGGUCUUUUUCAUCGGUUGAGAGCCACUUUCUGGUAUUUGAGCCUCAUUAUCUCACAUUUGUCACAGCACGAUUCUGUUGUUUGAUUGUACCUAUCCAUAUUAAAUGAUCUUGAACUGCUUCAUAAAUCUCAGCACUUUUGUACGUAUUGCACAUCAUUAGAAGCAAGCAUUUCCAGAGCGACCGUGUCUGAACGCAAUGGUCUCCCAGUCAUAACAACAUAUAUUGGUCCCCUUCUUUGUUUUGCUACCGUUGGUUUUCACACCAUAAAUAAAUAUUGCACAUGGUCA
ensembl:lncRNA